rnacentral:rRNA from 1 species
AAAGAGUGCGUAAUAGCUCACUGGUCGAGUGAUCCUGCGCCGAAGAUUUCCGGGGCUAAAACUUACUACCGAAGCUACGGCAUCAGUAAUGAUGGGGAGGGGAGCUUCCCAUACGGGUUGAAGCAUGACCGUAAGGACAUGUGGACAGUAUGGGAGUGAGAAUGUUGGCAUGAGUAGCGAGAUGUGGGUGAGAAUCCCACAGGCCGUAAACCCAAGGUUUCCAGGGGAAGGUUCG